rnacentral:rRNA from 1 species
GUAACGGCGAGUGAAGCGGCAACAGCUCAAAUUUGAAAUCUGGCCUCUUUGGGGUCCGAGUUGUAAUUUGUAGAGGAUGUUUCGGGUACCGCCUCGGUUUAAAUUUCUUGGAACAGAAUGUCAGAGAGGGUGAGAAUCCCGUCUUGGACCGGCGGUAGGGCCCAUGUGAAACUCCUUCGACGAGUCGAGUUGUUUGGGAAUGCAGCUCAAAAUGGGUGGUAAAUUUCAUCUAAAGCUAAAUAUUGGCCAGAGACCGAUAGCGCACAAGUAGAGUGAUCGAAAGAUGAAAAGCACUUUGAAAAGAGAGUUAAACAGUAUGUGAAAUUGUUGAAAGGGAAGCGCUUACAACCAGACUUGCGCGCGGCGGUUCCCCCUUCCUUUUGGUUGGGCUACUCCGUCGUGUCCAGGCCAACAUCGGUUCUGGGGGUCGGUUAAAGACCCUGGGAAUGUAUCUACCCUUCGGGCGUAGACUUAUAGCUCAGGGUGUCAUGCGACCUCCCGGGACCGAGGAACGCGCUUCGGCUCGGAUGUUGGCGUAAUGGUUGUCAGCGACCCG